rnacentral:rRNA from 1 species
CCUUACCAGGUCUUGACAUCCUCUGACAAUCCUAGAGAUAGGACGUCCCCUUNGGGGGCAGAGUGACAGGUGGUGCAUGGUUGUCGUCAGCUCGUGUCGUGAGAUGUUGGGUUAAGUCCCGCAACGAGNGCAACCCUUGAUCUUAGUUGCCAGCAUUCAGUUGGGCACUCUAAGGUGACUGCCGGUGACAAACCGGAGGAAGGUGGGGAUGACGUCAAAUCAUCAUGCCCCUUAUGACCUGGGCUACACACGUGCUACAAUGGACAGAACAAAGGGCAGCGAAACCGCGAGGUUAAGCCAAUCCCACAAAUCUGUUCUCAGUUCGGAUCGCAGUCUGCAACUCGACUGCGUGAAGCUGGAAUCGCUAGUAAUCGCGGAUCAGCAUGCCGCGGUGAAUACGUUCCCGGGCCUUGUACACACCGCCCGUCACACCACGAGAGUUUGUAACACCCGAAGUCGGUGAGGUAACCUUUUAGGAGCCAGCCGCCGAAGGUGGGACAGAUG